GCGGGCAAGGCCUUGGGGCCGCGCCUCCCGACUGGGGCGGAGCUGGCCCCGCCGAGUCCCGCCCCGCAGUCCGCGUCUGCCACUGGUGUAGUCACAGCCCUUCUCCUGUCCGGAAACAGGAAAGGGGUCGGAGAAAGACAACUGCUGGCUGCCUUUCUCCGCAGCGCUCGAAGCCUCAUCAUGUUCGUCCUCCGAAGCGGCCUGACUAGGGCUCUGGCCCCGCGGCAGCUCGCGCCUCAGAUGUGUUCACCUUUUGCUACAGGACCAAGACAAUAUGAUGGGACAUUCUAUGAAUUUCAUACUUACUACCUUAAAUCUUCAAAGAUGAAUGAGUUCCUGGAAGAUAUUAAGAAAAACAUUCAUCUUCGCACAGCUCACUCUGAACUGAUUGGAUACUGGAGUCUAGAAUUUGGAGGCAGAAUGAAUAAAGUGUUUCAUAUUUGGAAGUAUGAUAAUUUUGCUCAUCGAACUGAAGUUCAGAAAGCCUUGGCCAAAAAUAAGGAAUGGCAAGAACAAUUCCUCAUCCCAAAUUUGCUUCUUGUGGAUAAACAAGAAUGUGAAAUUACUUAUCUGGUACCAUGGUGCAAAAUAGAAAAGCCUCCAAAAGAAGGAGUCUAUGAACUGGCUACUUUUCAGAUGAAACCUGGUGGACCAGCUCUGUGGGGUGAUGCAUUUCAAAGGGCAAUUCAUUCCCAUGUCAAUCUAAACUAUGCCAAACUGGUUGGAGUUUUCCACACAGAAUACGGACUACUCAACAGAGUUCAUGUUCUUUGGUGGCAUGAGAGUCCGGAUAGUCGUGCAGCUGGAAGACAUCUGUCUCAUGAGGAUCCUAGGGUUGUGGCAGCUGUCCGGGAAAGUGCCAACUACCUAGUAUCACAGCAGAAUAUGCUUCUGAUUCCUACAUCGUUCUCACCAUUGAAAUAAUCUGCUACUGAAAUGAGACGUUUCAACUACUGUAUCUGCUAGUGAUGCAUGAAUUCUCCCCAGAGAGUCUCAGAUUUGUUUGAAGGAAGUGCUCAGUAAUGAGGCCACUCCUGAAGUUCACCCUUUAACCGAAGAUUGAACAGUCCUAUGGGAACAAAACAAGACUAAAGGGGCACACCAGCCCUGGGGCAGGGACUGGAAGGUAGGAGGGAACAAGAAAGCUGGUAAUAGGGAACCCAGGGUUGAGAAGGGAGAGUAUUGACAUGUCUUGGGGUUGUUAACCAGUGUCAUGCAACAAUGUGUGUACUGUUUGAUGAGAAGUUAGUUUGUUCUGUAAACCUUCAUCUAAAGUUGAAUAAAAAAUAAAUAAAAUAUUAAAAAAAAAAAACAUUUCUUUACAUUGGAAAAGUAUAGUAUCAUUUGUGUCAUCUGUAUUAAUUAUGGUUUUCACAUUAAUUGUUAGUCACUCCAGCUUAGAAAAUAGUGAAAUUAGGUCUUGGUAUUAAAAUUUUUUCAGGCUUGUUGAUUUGUAUGCUGAAAUGUGUUAAUUUAUAAUUACUUUUACUAAUUUUUACUUCAUUUUGAAUUGCUAUUUAGCAAAGAUACUUGGGACAUCUGUUUGUUUUAGAGAGAUCUUUUAUGGUUAUGAACAUGCUUGCCCUAAUAAAAGCCUACUUAUCCAUUCUAAUUCUUUUUAUUUUCAUUUUAUAUUUUUAUCCUCUUUUCUGGAGCUAUUGCUGUGUUGCUGUAGGGUAGUGACACAGUAGUAAUUUACCACCUUUAUUGUAAGUGGCAUCAAGAAAAUAGCAUGCCAGCAACCCCAGAAGGAGAAUUUCUUCAGCACUGUCACAGGUGGGCUAGGGUUUUCCUUGAAACACCUGUAAUUUCUGUUUUGCCUUCUAAUUUUAGUUUUGGUAUUUCCAACCUCUCCGGCUAGUCUAUAUUUACAGCUGUGUUAUUUUACAUUUCUAAAACAUACGGCAGAUGUAAAAUAGUAAGUUUUGAAUUAGCUAUCUGAAGAAAUUUUGGAAAACAGAAAGUAAAUCACCUCUCAUUUAUCUGGAUCCCUGAGAUCUCUGAUUUUUGUGGACCGUUACGUAAUGUGAGACAGUCGGUAUACCCUGCCUUCUCUCCUGUUGCUAUGGAUGAACUUUACAUGCUCCAAGCAGAGACAGACUCCUUUAUUUGUACACUUACUUCCAUAACUUCUAUCACCUUAAAUGCCCUCUCUAAGCAUCUUUACCCCAGGAGAAAAUUAAUUUUUUUCUUCCAUGACAGUUAGUUGUCCUAGGACUUUGAGGAAGAUGAAGUUUGUGCAUUUGACAGACAGAAUUUUUGAUGGCUGAUUGGAAGAAACGGAAAAUUUUGUAUCAUAGGUUUCUGCUUUGAAAGAGCUUGACCAGCCAUUGUGUGUAAGGAUCUUGACAAAAGAAAUGCUUAAAGGGUUUUGAAAAAAAAAACAGAAAGAUUAGAUGGUGCCUGAGCUAUUAACAGACAGGAAAAUAAUUCAAAUAGAACUUUUAUAAUCCAGAUAUUGUCCUGUUUUCUGCUCUCCUUCGAAGCAAAAUUCCUCUGUAGAGUUGUGUAUUUUAACUAUCUUCCUUUCCUUACCACUUACUCUCACCUGAAACCAUUCCAGUUAGGCAUGCAUCCUCAUCAGUCCUCUGCAGUGACUUCUGGAGGUUACCAGGGACCUUUUUAUUACCAAAUUCAAUGGUCAAUUUUCUAUCUUUACCUUACCAUCCUCUCAGCAAUGUUGGACACAGUUAACCAUUUCUGCCUUCUUGAAACACUUGAUUCUCUGACCUUCAAUGCAUGAUGUCAUGCUCUUCAGAUUUUUCUUAGCUCGCUGGCCAGUCGCUCUCAGUUUCUCUUGCUGGCUUCUCUUCCUAGUGUUGUAGGACUUCGGGGCUCAAGCCUGUUCUCUACCUUCAUUUUCUCUAGGUAAGCUCCUUCAACCCCAAGAUUGAAAUACCAUAUAUAUGCUUAUGAUUUGUAUGUUUUUA